rnacentral:lncRNA from 1 species
UUGCACCCCCUCCAGCGGUGCAACCAGUACUCUCGAUGGUGCCACCUGCACCUCCUGCGGUAGCGCCCCUAUCAAAUCUGACUUCUCAGCCAUCGCCACAACCAGAGCAACUGCGGGUGCUUCCUCAGAGUCUAGAGAGGAGGCAAACCCACCAAAGCCGUCUCAGGAUUCGGGAAACAGCAAGACAGCGAUCUCUCAGUCCACGAUCGGGGCAUGAUUCAACUCCUGAUCACUGUUCUCCUCAACACUUUAAGGUCUGCACAGUCCGAGAUCCGACCAUAGAGAGGCGGUUCUAGGCGCUCGAUAAAAAGAUCAACAAUGCUCUCAAUAAUAAUUCCUCGGUGCAGCCC